AACUAAUUCUAGCUCAACAGAACCAAAACUUAAUAACAACCUGUCAAUAAACCAAAACAUUUACCUUUUAAAAAGUAUAGGAGAUAGAAAUUUAAAACAUGAAGCUAUAGAGAUAGUACCGUAAGGGAAAGAUGAAAGAAAAUUUUAAUAGUAAAACAAAGCAAAGAUUAAAACUUUUACCUUUUGCAUAAUGAUUUAACUAGAAAAAUUUUGACAAAAAGAAUUUAAGCCAAAACCCCCGAAACCAGACGAGCUACUUAUAAGCAGCCAAUUAGGGCCAAUCCGUCUAUGUAGCAAAAUAGUGGAAAGACUUUUAAGUAGAGGUGAAAAGCCUAUCGAGCCUGGUGAUAGCUGGUUGUCCAGAUUAGAAUUUUAGUUCAACUUUAAAUUUAUCUAAAGCAUAACUCUUAAAGCCAAAUAUAAAUUUAAAUGUUAUUCUAAAGAGGGACAGCUCUUUAGAAAAAGGAAAAAACCUUAAUUAGAGAGUAAAUACUCUAUUCACCAUAGUUGGCCUAAAAGCAGCCAUCAAUUAAAAAAGCGUUAAAGCUUAACCUAAUUAUUAAAACUUAAUCUCUUAAUUCUAAAAUGACCUCCUAAUGUACUUACUGGACUAAUCUAUAAUUUUAUAGAAGAAAUAAUGUUAGAAUGAGUAACAAGAACAAUUAUUCUCCCUGCAUAAGCUUAUAUUAGACCAAAUAAUUCUCUAAUAGUUAACAACUCUAUAACAAUAAGUAUAAUAUAAAAUUAUUAUUCAAUGUAUUGUUAACCCAACUCCGGUAUGCACAAUAUUAAGGGAAAGAUUAAAAAGAAUAAAAGGAACUCGGCAAAUAACAACCCCGCCUGUUUACCAAAAACAUCACCUCUAGCAUAAAAAGUAUUAGAGGCACCGCCUGCCCAGUGACAUAAGUUAAACGGCCGCGGUAUCCUGACCGUGCAAAGGUAGCAUAAUCAUUUGUUCCUUAAAUAGGGACUUGUAUGAAUGGCUUGACGAGGGUUUAACUGUCUCUUAUUCUUGAUCAGUGAAAUUGACCUUCCCGUGAAGAGGCGGGAAUAAACAAAUAAGACGAGAAGACCCUAUGGAGCUUAAAUUUUAUAGUCUAGCAUUCACUAAACUCUCUCUACGGAUUUAAGACUUAUGCCUACAGACUACAAAUUUUGGUUGGGGUGACCUCGGAGAAUAAACUAACCUCCGAAUGAUAUUAAUCUAGACCAUAACCCGUCUAAAUCUAAGUUCAUAAAUUGACCCAAAAAACAUUUGAUCAACGGAACAAGUUACCCUAGGGAUAACAGCGCAAUCCUACUCAAGAGUUCAUAUCGACAGUUAGGGUUUACGACCUCGAUGUUGGAUCAGGACAUCCAAAUGGUGUAACCGCUAUUAAUGGUUCGUUUGUUCAACGAUUAAAGUCCUACGUGAUCUGAGUUCAGACCGGAGAAAUCCAGGUCGGUUUCUAUCUAUUAUUAGAUUUCUCCCAGUACGAAAGGACAAGAGAAAUAAGGCCAAUUUUCCUAAUACGCCUUAAACAAAUAAAUGAUAUUAUCUCAAUUUAAUUAGCUACUCCCUACCCAAUCCUAGAACAGGAUUU
rnacentral:rRNA from 1 species